AUUGAACGCUGGCGGCAGGCUUAACACAUGCAAGUCGAGCGGGGAAAAGUAGCUUGCUACUUGACCUAGCGGCGGACGGGUGAGUAAUGCUUAGGAAUCUGCCUAUUAGUGGGGGACAACAUCUCGAAAGGGAUGCUAAUACCGCAUACGUCCUACGGGAGAAAGCAGGGGACCUUCGGGCCUUGCGCUAAUAGAUGAGCCUAAGUCGGAUUAGCUAGUUGGUGGGGUAAAGGCCUACCAAGGCGACGAUCUGUAGCGGGUCUGAGAGGAUGAUCCGCCACACUGGGACUGAGACACGGCCCAGACUCCUACGGGAGGCAGCAGUGGGGAAUAUUGGACAAUGGGGGGAACCCUGAUCCAGCCAUGCCGCGUGUGUGAAGAAGGCCUUUUGGUUGUAAAGCACUUUAAGCGAGGAGGAGGCUACCGAGAUUAAUACUUUUGGAUAGUGGACGUUACUCGCAGAAUAAGCACCGGCUAACUCUGUGCCAGCCGCCGCGGUAA
rnacentral:rRNA from 1 species